UAAAUAAAUACAACAAUAAUAAUAUAAUAAAGCUGAGGCACACUGAUGUCUUUUAGAACGAUCCAUUGCUUUUCAUGAUGUCAAGCUUUUGACCAUUGUUACUUCCACAGCGGCUUCAAACGUUAGUGGUCGGAAAUCCUGUGACAAGAUGAAGAGAAUUCUCAGAGAGGGCACUCAGGAAGAAGUGGUCAGGGAUAUGUUCGAGAAAGCCACCUCAAAUAUGAUAAUAAAGCUGAGGCACACUGAUGUCUUUUAGAACGAUCCAUUGCUUUUCAUGAUGUCAAGCUUUUGACCAUUGUUACUUCCACAGCGGCUUCAAACGUUAGUGGUCGGAAAUCCUGUGACAAGAUGAAGAGAAUUCUCAGAGAGGGCACUCAGGAAGAAGUGGUCAGGGAUAUGUUCGAGAAAGCCACCUCAAAUAUGAUAAGUUCCUUCACUGAAUUGAAGGAGAAGAUCUUGAGGACCUUGAACAAGGAAAUGUCCAUCGUGCGCGAACUCCUUCUGCUGCAGCAGGAGCAGCUGGCAUUGCAGCUGCCGGAUAUUAAAAAUGAGUGCAGAGAAAUCCAGCAGAUCCUCCGGACGUUGCAACAAGAUACGGGAAUGAGGACGAGCGACCAAGAGGCGUCUUCCUGAAAUAUCAUUUUCGCCUUAUCUCAGGUUAUGCUUUCGAUUGCGAGAGCUCUCGUGGUGAAGUGACUUGGCAACACAAGAACUUGUAUUCCUGAUUUGCACUGGCUCACCGUACCCUUCCCCCCCCCCAUGGCAUUGCUACCCUUUUAAUCUGUUGUUUUGCUUUCCGUCUGCUCCAUUAGCCAAUUUUAUAAUCAAAGGGAGAUGUUUCCGUGUAGACUAUCUAAGAAACAUCAACUCAUUUGUUAUGCUUGAGCAAAUAUCUUGAUGGAUUGUCCUUUUGGCUUAUGCCAUUAUGACUUUCUAUUUUAGAAAAAAAACACACCAAUAAAAUCAAAAUAAAAGGAAUAUAUUUCGUUGCC
rnacentral:lncRNA from 1 species